rnacentral:lncRNA from 1 species
UCCAAUAUUUUGGUGAGUAUUAGUGUAUUACAUACUAUCGGAUCGUUGGUGCUAACCAUUAAUUCCAAAAGCUCAAACUGUUAGAAAUACGCAACUAAUUCACUUAAAGCGUAUAGAUACAGCGCCCAUGAAUCUCGACUGUGACUCGACCCAACCAGCUUCACGCCACCUCAAACAUGACUCGGCCCAUAUAGUCUCCCGUCAUAUGGUAGGAUGCUGGACCAUCUAAGCCAACACAUAUAUUAAUCAAACAAAAACAACAAAAAAACAUCAGGAAA